rnacentral:tRNA from 1 species
GGUGAUGUAGCUCAGCGGAACCAGAGCGACUGCCUCCUAAGCAGUAGGUCGUGAGUUCAAAUCUCACCAUCGCCG